GAUGAACGCUGGCGGCGUGCCUAAUACAUGCAAGUCGAGCGAACAGAUGAGGAGCUUGCUCCUCUGACGUUAGCGGCGGACGGGUGAGUAACACGUGGAUAACCUACCUAUAAGACUGGGAUAACUUCGGGAAACCGGAGCUAAUACCGGAUAAUAUAUUGAACCGCAUGGUUCAAUAGUGAAAGACGGUUUUGCUGUCACUUAUAGAUGGAUCCGCGCCGCAUUAGCUAGUUGGUAAGGUAACGGCUUACCAAGGCAACGAUGCGUAGCCGACCUGAGAGGGUGAUCGGCCACACUGGAAGUGAGACACGGUCCAGACUCCGACGGUAGGCAGCAGUAGGGAAUCCUCCGCAAUGGGCGAAUGCCUGACGGAGCAAAGUCGCGUGAGUGAUGAAGGUGUUCUGAUCGUAAAGCUCUGUUAUUAGGGAAGAUCAAAUGUGUAAGUAACUAUGCACGUCUUGACGGUACCUAAUCAGAAAGCCACGGCUAACUACGUG
rnacentral:rRNA from 1 species